rnacentral:lncRNA from 1 species
GCAUUUCAGUACAUUGAGUAGCUUUAUUAUUGAGAUGCUAGCAGGACUCAUGCACACAUAUGCUAGCAGUCAGACAAAGUAGGUAACAGGAACAAAAUAUUUAUUUGUUGUCACUACCUAAAUAAGUGUGAGAUGUGGCUGACUGUCGCCUUCUCCUCGAGCUUGAACUAUAUCCACUUGCUUGGGUUAAGCGCUGAAAAGCAAGGCAAAAAUUGUUAGGUGGAAGAAAAUGCGGAACGACAUACCACCUACCUAUCUUUUACCAAAAUCCCUUGAUCUGGAGUGCUUAGCUAACUAUAUAGCACAACAGAAAAAUGGUUACAUAUACAACCACUAUAGCACAGGGCUAAAAAUGAUGAAAGAAAUCUGUAUCUAGAGCGCUUAGCUAACUGUCUGAAGAUUACAUAAGUUGCAAGGCUUUCUACAUCUAGUCCAAUGGAUUUUAUUUUAUGCCAUUUUAAGUCAUAACUCAGAAUUAUAUUUUGAGAGGGAUAAUCUUGGUAUAAUUUGUGCUAAUUAAUUUCUGCUACAAGACAUUUGUACAAACAAAGACAAAAUUGUUUGUCAGUUACCUGCAAAUCAGCUAUCUGAAAUCAACUAUCAGCUAUGGUUCGUUGCCAUGGUUUGAUAAGUGAUACUUUUUAUCACAAAUAUGGACCAAUUGUUUAUUUAUCUACAUAUCAGACAAGCUUAUCCUUGAUAACUAAACAAGCAUCCAAUUGUUAGUGGAUAUAUUCAGUAAACAUGUCCAGUUGAACAAUUAAGAAAUAAUAAUAAGAAGUGCAUGUUCACCUGGGGUAUUAUUUUAUCACAACUGAAGUAUAAAACAUGUAAAAUACCCAUUCCAAUAUAGCGUUAUACUGGAUACAACUUUUAAAUAGUGAUAACAUCCAAAGUUAUACAACCUUUUAUUGGCUCCAACAACCAAUCACCAAGAUCCUUUGCUGUUGCAGCAUGAUCCCAAUCGAAGAAACAUUGCAUCGGAUUUUCCAAUUAACAAAAAUCACAUAGGAGAUAGGAGGAUGUGAGAAGGUUCAGGAGAAAGAGGACGAACCGGCGGGGCCUUCCUCUUGCCAAGAGAAUCAAAUGGCAGACUAUUGGCAGUCGGUGAGGCGAGUGUCAGCGACAGCGGCAUGUAGAGGCAGGAAAAUGAGGCAACGGUAAGAGGCUGUCCGUCCAAUCGUCUCACUGAACAAGAGAAAGCUCAAAAAGAGAAAAAAAACAUGUACAGAGAANN